rnacentral:rRNA from 1 species
UACGUAGGGCGCAAGCGUUGUCCGGCAUUAUUGGGCGUAAAGAGCUCGUAGGCGGCCUGUUACGUCUGCUGUGAAAUCCCGGGGCUUAACCCCGGGCGUGCAGUGGAUACGGGCAGGCUGGAGGCAGGCAGGGGAGAACGGAAUUCCCGGUGUAGCGGUGAAAUGCGCAGAUAUCAGGAGGAACACCGGUGGCGAAGGCGGGUCUCUGGGCCGAUACUGACGCUGAGGAGCGAAAGCGUGGGGAGCGAACAGG